ACGCUAAUUAGACCAGGCAUAUCAUCCUUGAGUUUGUCACUUUCAUGCGCCAUUGUGUGUGACACUGCAUCAUUGUGUCAUUUGGCUCCAGCCCCAUGUCGCAUGCGCAUGACAGAACGAAUUUGCCAGAAAAGGACCCACGAGGUAAAAUGCGGCAUCGCUGGUCUCGCCGCUGGGCUGCCUCCCAGUGCUUUCAGCUUUCCAGGCAAAGCGUCCCCUAUACAAGCAGGACGGAGGAAGUGAGGCUUGGGGACACCACCUCAUCCACACACACAACCAACACCCGGGCGCCCCAAGUAUCUGUCCUUUCUCUGCUGCCCCUCUCUCUCGUUCCAAACGACUGCACCUCAAUGCACCCAGAUGUCAAACUACUGAAAUUUGCAGACCACCGUCAUCAGCCUCAUCAAAGAUGGUGAUGAGUCUGCAUAUCGACAGGAACGGGAGCGGUUGGAGCUUUGGUGGGUCAGAGACAAUCUGGAGCUGAACACGCUCAAGAUGGUAGGAUGAUUGUGGAAUUCAGGAGGCCUCCUUUACCACAGCUACCCUUCACACCCUGUCCAACUGCUCUGUGGCAACUGUUGAGACCUUCCUAGGAAUUAGUCUCUCAGGAUCUGAAGAAUGAGACCGAUGUCAACUCCAUCCUCAAAAAGGCCCAGCAGAGGAUAUACUUCCUGUGGCUUCUGAGGAAGCAUGGCCUGCCACAGGUGUGUAACCCAAGUUGGUACAGGUAAAAUUUCAGUAUAAUAGAGUAGCAAUUAGGUUAUAGGUUUUCUUUAUGCAAUGUGGUGAAAUAUCUGUUAAACUGUGUGCUAACUUUAUUUUCUUUUGGAGGGAUUUGGAUUUAAAUGUGUUUGAUUCAUUUGUGAAAAAGAAAUACUUUGUCAUUUUAUUGUUGUAACCAUCGUUUAAGAAGGACAGGAAAUUGCGUGUUGAGGAGACACAGGGAAAAAGACAGAGAGAGAAAAGGCUGGUACGAGUGGUUGUUGGGGGCAACGAAAGGACAAAGAAAGUGAACGGUGGACAUUUAUCAAAAGUUGAUCGACGUGUUCAACAAGGACUGUUGAAAGUUCAACUGGGAUAGUAUGUCGUGUGAGUGGACUACUCAAAUCACGCUGUAACGUGGUUGAGUUAGCCUCUACUAUAGGGGCUAAGUGGGACUUGGCUUGGGCGCUAGCAACUAGCUAGCAAGGCCUGUGUUUUUGGACCACGAAGGAGAGGAAAAGGGCGCUAGUAUCGAACUAACGCGGCUAGCGAGGCUGUGUUUGGACUUCAAGGAAGAAAAAGGGACGAGGACCGUGAGGACGCCGGACAGAGGAAAAACCACCUUCACCUUUCUUCACUCCUGCCUUGGGAAGCACUGCAGUGAC